rfam:Schistosoma mansoni strain Puerto Rico chromosome 6, complete genome
ACAGAGAUGGAUUAGUGGUUAAGUCAUUUGACUUCUAACCACUAAGUCUCAGGUUCGAAACCUGCUCUAUCUA